UCCCCAAGGCUUGUUCCCACAACUCAGUAU
rnacentral:piRNA from 1 species